AAAUGUUAUAUAUUGAUAGCAUUCAUCAGUAUAACAUUUAUUUAAAUAAGUAGGUGCUCAAUAGGUGUUGGUCUUCUAACUUGUCUACAUCCCAUCCCCAUUCCAGGGUCUUCAGAAUUGAAGGAGAGAUGUUGUAUCACUGUUAGAAGGCUGCUUUGGGAAAUUCUGCAGCAGGGAGGAGGGAUUGUCAACCCCUACACCAUGACCACCAAGUUCCUCACCUUGGUUGAGUCCCUAAAUCUCUCUGAACCUCAGGUUCCUCCAAGUAUAAUGCAGACUUCACAGAGCUGUUGUAAACAUUAGGUGGAAAAGAAGGCAUUUGAAAACUUGUUUUUUUUGAAAAAAGAUUUAUGGCUGAGGCUUCUAUGACAACAGACAGAUUAACUAGAGGAAAGCACACACCAAACAGGAGCCUUCAGAAAUGAAGACUCAAAGACAGAGGUAAACUUGUGUAUUUUUGUACUAAGUCUGAUGAAGAAGUGGAUAAUUGUUAAGAAGUAUGAUUGGAGGACAGAGGGUAGAGUCUAUUAAUAAUAAACUUGGAGGAGCUUAAAAAGUCCUGUUUGGGCUGGGUGCGGUAGCUUAUGCCUGU